AGCAACAUCUGUGGCCUUUGGUUGUAUAAAUAGGAUUUUUGAUAAGUUAGAAGGGAAAUCUGGACCCUUUUGACUAUUCCAAAGGGAAUAGGCACCUUCAUGGUACAAAAUAGAACAUCUUCAAGUUGAAGAUGUAAAUCAGGAAAGCAGAGGACGACAUGAGCAGUCCUGUAACCUGAAUUCACACUUCAACUGGAGUAACUUCCUGGAGAAGAAAGGACAGGACAUACCUUGGAUUGACAAAUCCAACAGACUUCAGUCUCAUGGGAGAACUUGAUAAUGCCCAUCAGUAUGGAAACAUAUGUAUGCAGAGCACUCAGGGCAGAGCCUGUGCACAGCAAAGGCUCAUUCAUACCGGUUAUUAGUAUUAUUACCAUCAUCAUCCUCUUUUUCUACCGGAUCACCCUUCCUGGGUUUUGUUAUACGUCAGUGUCUAUUCUCCCUCCUGAUGGUAACAGCAUCCCAACAGUGUUUUGGAGAAUCACUCCUCUGCUAUUAGAUGUACGAAGUAGUGGUACCUGUCUUCCUCUGGCUAACAGGUGGGCACACAUGCCCUAAAUUGGCCUGAUGCCUUUUCUCUG
ensembl:lncRNA